rnacentral:rRNA from 1 species
UUAAGCUAAGAAGAGCGUAGGGAGAAUGCCUUGGCAUUAGGAGCCGACGAAGGACGUGAUAAGCUGCGAUAAGCUGCGGGGAUCAGCAAGUAUGAAUUGAUCCGCAGAUUUCCGAAUGGAGCAAUCCGUAUGUGUAUGCACAUACAUCAUAUACUGAAUCAAAUAGGUAUAUGAGGGGAACCGCCUGAACUGAAACAUCUAAGUAGGGCGAGGAAGAGAAAUCAACCGAGAUUCUGUGAGUAGUGGCGAGCGAAAGCGGAAGAGGCUAAACCAUAGGUAGCAAUACUUAUGGGGUUUCGGACAGCAUUUAGUAUUGAUAAUUUCUAGUUGAAACGUGUGGGAAAACGUACCGAAGAGUGUGAGAGUCACGUAAGCGAAAGAGAAAGUCAGCGAGCUGUAUCCAAAGUACCGCGGGACACGUGAAACCCCGUGGGAAGAUGGGGGGACCAUCCUCCAAGCCUAAAUACUACCUAAUGACCGAUAGCGAAUAGUACUGUGAAGGAACGGUGAAAAGAACCCCGGGAGGGGAGUGAAAAAGAACCUGAAACCCUAUGCUUACAAGCACCGAGAGCACGUCAAAGUGUGAUCGGGUACCUUUUGUAGAAUGGUCCGGCGAGUUAUUGUAUGCGGCAAGGUUAAGUGCUUAAGGCACGGAGCCGAAGCGAGAGCAAGUCUGAAUAGGGCGAAUAAGUCGUAUGCAAUAGACCCGAAACCGAGUGACCUAUCCAUGUCCAGGCUGAAGUGGAGGUAAAACUCCAUGGAGGGCCGAACACACGUCCGUUGAAAAGGCCGGUGAUGAGGUGUGGAUAGCGGAGAAAUUCCAAUCGAACUCGGAUAUAGCUGGUUCUCUCCGAAAUAGCUUUAGGGCUAGCCUCGUGAAAGAUUACUGGAGGUAAAGCACUGAAUGGGCUAGGGGUCGAAAGAUUACUGAACCCUAUCAAACUAAGAAUGCCAGAUAAUUGAUUCACGGGAGUCAGACAAUGUGAGAUAAGUCUCAUUGUCAAAAGGGAAACAGCCCAGACCCACAGCUAAGGUCCCUAAACAUUGUUAAGUGGAAAAGGAUGUGGGGUUGCAUAAACAACCAGGAUGUUGGCUUAGAAGCAGCCACUCAUUAAAAGAGUGCGUAAUAGCUCACUGGUCGAGUGACCCUGCGCCGAAAAUUCAACGGGGCUAAACAAUGUACCGAAGCUUGGGAUUCUAAAGUAAUUUAGAGUGGUAGGAGAGCGUCGAAUAAGGGGUGAAGUCAGAGCGGAAGCGCUGGUGGACUUUAUUCGAGUGAGAAUGCCGGAAUGAGUAGCGAGAAUUAUGUGAGAAUCAUAAUGGCCGAAAAUCUAAGGUUUCCUGAGGAAGGUUCGUCCGCUCAGGGUAAGCCGGGGGCUAAGGCGAGGCGGAGACGCGUAGCCGAUGCACAUACGGUUGAAAUUCCGUAGCCACCGAAAGAUUUAAGUACAGGGACGCUUUAGAAGUGAUGUUGCCGGGCGAUGGUUGACCCGGUCGUAAGGGAUCGAAAAUGAGUAGAGAAGUCAUCAUGGAAAGAGACAAGAAAAGCUGUAUGAAUAUCUUAGGUGCCCGUACCGCAAACCGACACAGGUAGAUAGGAAGAAGAUUCUAAGGCCAACGGGAGAAGGGUUGUUAAGGAACUCGGCAAGUUGACCCCGUAACUUAGGGAUAAGGGGUGCUCAAGUGAUUGAGCCGCAGAGAAUAGGCCCAGGCGACUGUUUAGCAAAAACACAGGUCUCUGCUAAAUCGAAAGAUGACGUAUAGGGGCUGACACCUGCCCGGUGCCGGAAGGUUAAGAGGAGAUGUGAGAGCAUUGAAUUGAAGCCCCGGUAAACGGCGGCCGUAACUAUAACGGUCCUAAGGUAGCGAAAUUCCUUGUCAGGUAAG